GACGAACGCGGCGGCGUGCUUAACACAUGCAAGUCGAACGUGAUUUUUGUGGAAAUUCUUUCGGGAAUGGAAAUGAAAUGAAAGUGGCGAACGGGUGAGUAACACGUGAGCAACCUACCUUACACAGGGGGAUAGCCGUUGGAAACGACGAUUAAUACCGCAUGAGACCACAGAAUCGCAUGAUAUAGGGGUCAAAGAUUUAUCGGUGUAAGAAGGGCUCGCGUCUGAUUAGCUAGUUGGAAGGGUAAAGGCCUACCAAGGCGACGAUCAGUAGCCGGUCUGAGAGGAUGAACGGCCACAUUGGAAUUGAGACACGGUCCAAACUCCUACGGGAGGCAGCAGUGGGGAAUAUUGCACAAUGGGGGGAACCUUGAUGCAGCGACGCCGCGUGAGCGAAGAAGGUUUUCGAAUCGUAAAGCUCUGUCCUAUGAGAAGAUAAUGACGGUAUCAUAGGAGGAAGCCCCGGCUAAAUACGUGCCAGCAGCCGCGGUAAUACGUAUGGGGCGAGCGUUGUCCGGAAUUAUUGGGCGUAAAGGGUACGUAGGCGGUUUUUUAAGUCAGGUGUGAAAGCGUGAGGCUUAACCUCAUUAAGCACUUGAAACCGGAAGACUUGAGUGAAGGAGAGGAAAGUGGAAUUCCUAGUGUAGCGGUGAAAUGCGUAGAUAUUAGGAGGAAUACCGGUGGCGAAGGCGACUUUCUGGACUUUUACUGACGCUCAGGUACGAAAGCGUGGGGAGCAAACAGG
rnacentral:rRNA from 1 species